rnacentral:tRNA from 1 species
AGGAUUAUAGUUUAUAAAAACAUUUGAUUUGCAAUCAAAAAUUAUUGAAUUACUCAAUUUAUCUUA